UGCUGCGUGGAAAAGUAGGCUCACCACCAGAUAUAAUGCUGACAAACCGUGUUAUAUCGUUGAUGCAAGACAAGUAGAAAGACGACGACACACCCUGGUAGAGGUCCCGGACUCCACCGAGCAGUGGGCGAGGCAGUCUGAACUCCGCCGGACCGUUCAGAUGCGUCGGCGGCGCAGGAGCGACCCGGCCGGUGGUCAAGGAAUAUGUGCACCUAAAGACGGACAAAGGACUGACAGUGAAUUUGUGCCUUAAUUCACUGUCAGUCACUCCCGGCUGCCUGUUGCGGAAAGGCCGACUCUCACGCUCGCUGGCUGACUCCCAGAAUUCCCUCACCCACGGCCCCAAAUGGCUGACACACAGCAGUUCUUCACUGGCAAGCUUUAUGUUCCUGUACACAUGCUAAAGCUGCCAGCUGAAGAACUGCUCUGGUCAGCCCUGCCCCGGAUGACUCAAGAAUAGGAAGCGGAUGGGGGGAUGGUGGUGGUGGGAAGAGGACUGAGGAAGGCAACAUUUCAUACACUCAGUAGUAAGACUGGACAUUAAUAACCUGAUAGAUUUGAGACACCAUUGUUUAUGUUUCUUCCACAUGGAAGUUGUGUUUCUCUGUGGUCACUGGUCACACACAUUGUCAACUGAAAAAAAACUUGUCUAUGAUGUGUUAUUUUUUCUUAUAAUAAAGAACAUUUAUUUUC